rnacentral:rRNA from 1 species
AGCAGCCGCGGUAAUUCCAGCUCCAAUAGCGUAUAUUAAAGUUGUUGCAGUUAAAAAGCUCGUAGUUGAAUUUCGAGAUCAGUACGCUUGUCGUGCCUUCGGUAUGCACUGGUGUCACUGGUUUCUCCCUUCUGAAGAACCGUUAUGUCAUUAAGUUGGUGUGGCGGGGAAUCAGGACUGUUACUUUGAAAAAAUUAGAGUGUUUAAAGCAGGCUCGCGCUUGAAUACAUUAGCAUGGAAUAAUGAAAUAGGACGUUUGACCCUAUUUUGUUGGUUUCUAGGAUCGACGUAAUGAUUAAUAGGGAUAGUUGGGGGCAUUAGUAUUCAAUUGUCAGAGGUGAAAUUCUUGGAUUUAUUGAAGACUAACUACUGCGAAAGCAUUUGCCAAGGAUGUUUUCAUUAAUCAAGAACGAAAGUUAGGGGAUCGAAGACGAUCAGAUACCGUCGUAGUCUUAACCAUAAACUAUGCCG